UGGGGAUAUGGCGGAAUUGGUAGACGCUACAGACUUAAAAUUUGUUGGCGCAUUCGCGCUGUGAGGGUUCAAGUCCCUCUAUCCCCAA
rnacentral:tRNA from 1 species